rnacentral:rRNA from 1 species
GGACCCGCACAAGCAGUGGAGUAUGUGGUUUAAUUCGAAGCAACGCGAAGAACCUUACCAAGGCUUGACAUCCCUUGCAUACCAUAGAGAUAUGGGAAGUCCUUCGGGACAAGGUGACAGGUGGUGCAUGGUUGUCGUCAGCUCGUGUCGUGAGAUGUUGGGUUAAGUCCCGCAACGAGCGCAACCCUUAUUGUCAGUUGCCAUCAUUUAGUUGGGCACUCUGGCGAGACUGCCGGUGACAAAUCGGAGGAAGGUGGGGAUGACGUCAAAUCAUCAUGCCCCUUAUGUCUUGGGCUACACACGUACUACAAUGGGCGUUACAGAGGGAAGCGAAGGAGUAAUCCGGAGCAAAUCCACAAAAACGUCCUCAGUUCGGAUUGAGGGCUGAAACCCGCCUCAUGAAGUCGGAAUUGCUAGUAAUGGCAGGUCAGCAUACUG